AUGGAGAACAUGCUGGAAUGUGCAUUCAUAGCCUUGUGGCUUCAGGUUGGAUGGCUGCAUGGAGAAGACCGAGUGGAGCAGAGUCCUCAGACCCUGAGAACCCAGGAGGGGGGCAGUCUCAGCCUCAACUGCAGCCACACCGUCAGCAGCUUCAUAGGGCUACAGUGGUAUAGACAAGACCCUGGGAAGGGCCCUGAACUCCUCUUCCUUCUUUACUUAGCUGGGGAUGAAAAGCAGAAAGAAAGACUGAGAGCCACCUUGUUAAAGAAGGGAAGUUCUCUGCACAUCGAAGCCCCCAAACCCGAAGACUCAGCCACUUACCUCUGCGCUGUGCAGACACAGUGCUCCCCAGGCACCUGCAGACUGUACCCAAGCCCUGAGGCUGCGGCUCUAGAAUAA